ensembl:lncRNA
CACAGAAACAGACUAUUGUUAUUCACAUUUUCCAGCUCUCCUUCACUGUGAGCAAGAACAGUGUAACAGAAGGGACUCAGCUACUGAAAGCAAACUUUCCCUUUUCUCAGGUGCUCCAGGCAGCCGUGACCACUUGGGCAUGGAGGAUUUGAGCAUUAGGUGCUGCAGAAAUGGUGCCUGCCAUCUGAAAGCCUUUGCUUCAGGUUCAAUUCUGCCUUCUCAGAGACCCUGGUAGGCUAAGUGUCUC